rnacentral:rRNA from 1 species
UACAGAGGGGGCAAGCGUUGUUCGGAAUUACUGGGCGUAAAGGGCGCGUAGGCGGCCCGCUAAGUCGAACGUGAAAUCCCCGGGCUCAACCCGGGAACUGCGUCCGAUACUGGCAGGCUUGAAUCCGGGAGAGGGAUGCGGAAUUCCAGGUGUAGCGGUGAAAUGCGUAGAUAUCUGGAGGAACACCGGUGGCGAAGGCGGCAGCCUGGACCGGCAUUGACGCUGAGGCGCGAAAGCCAGGGGAGCAAACGGG